CAUGUCCUUUUGAUUAUGAUUUAAGGUCUGGUCUGCUCAAUGAAGUUUAAAUAGCCGCAGUAUUUUGACUGUGCAAAGGUAGCAUAAUAAUUAGUUUCUUAAUUAGGAACUGGAAUGAAAGAUUGGACAAGAAAAUAUCUGUCUCUUUUUUAAUAUUUUUGAAUUUUAUUUUUAAGUGAAAAAGCUUAGAUUUUUAUAGAAGACGAGAAGACCCUAUAGAGUUUAAUAUUUUUAUUUAAUUAGUUAUUAGAAUCAUUUUUUAAGUAUAUUAUAUUUGAUUGGGGUGAUUUGAAGAUUAACUUAAUUCUUUAAAGUUUUAAUUGAUGAUUAUUAAAUUUUAAAUCUAUUUUUUAUAAAAUUAAAAUAAAUUACCUUAGGGAUAACAGCGUAAUUUUUCUUUAAAGUUCUUAUUAAAAGGAAAGUUUGCGACCUCGAUGUUGGAUUAAAAUUAAUUUUUGGUGCAGUAACUAAAAAAUUAGGUCUGUUCGACCUUUAAAAUUUUACAUGAUCUGAGUUUAGACCGGUGUAAACCAGGUUGGAUUCUAUCUUUAGAAAAAUAGUAUAUUUUAGUACGAAAGGACCAAAUAUAUAUUAAAUUAAUUG
rnacentral:rRNA from 1 species